rnacentral:misc_RNA from 1 species
GAUGAAGAACGUAGCGAAAUGCGAUAAGUAGUGUGAAUUGCAGAAUUCAGUGAAUCAUCGAAUCUUUGAACGCACAUUGCGCCUCCCGGUAUUCCGGGAGGCAUGCCUGUUCGAGCGUCAUUAAAAUCACUCAAGCUUAGGUUUACCUAUUGCUUGGUCUUGGAGAUGGAAGCCAAUUUAUUGGAAUCCUCUUCGAAAUUCAAUGGCGAAGACCCUUGCUCUCCCAAGUGUAGUAAUAACUUAUGUCACUGAAGGAAGCGAGAAAUCUUCUGCCGUAACCCCCAUAUUUUCUAUGAUUGACCUCGGAUCAGGUAGGGAUACCCGCUGAACUUAAGCAUAUCAAUAAGCGGAGGA